GCCGCCAUAGCUCAGUCGGUUAGAGCGUGGGUCUAAUAAGCCCAAGGUUCCAGGUUCGACCCCUGCUGGAGGCA
rfam:Angiostrongylus cantonensis strain Taiwan genome assembly, scaffold: ACAC_contig0007666